UACAGAGGUCUCAAGCGUUGUUCGGAUUCAUUGGGCGUAAAGGGUGCGUAGGCGGCGCGGUAAGUCGGGUGUGAAAUCUCGGAGCUUAACUCCGAAACUGCAUUCGAUACUGCCGUGCUUGAGGACUGGAGAGGAGACUGGAAUUUACGGUGUAGCGGUGAAAUGCGUAGAUAUCGGAAGGAACACCAGUGGCGAAGGCGGCUACCUGGACUGACACUGACGCUGAGGCGCGAGAGCGUGGGGAGCAAACAGG
rnacentral:rRNA from 1 species